GACGAACGCUGGCGGCGUGCUUAACACAUGCAAGUCGAACGGAAAGGCCCUGCUUUUGUGGGGUGCUCGAGUGGCGAACGGGUGAGUAACACGUGAGUAACCUGCCCUUGACUUUGGGAUAACUUCAGGAAACUGGGGCUAAUACCGGAUAGGAGCUCCUGCUGCAUGGUGGGGGUUGGAAAGUUUCGGCGGUUGGGGAUGGACUCGCGGCUUAUCAGCUUGUUGGUGGGGUAGUGGCUUACCAAGGCUUUGACGGGUAGCCGGCCUGAGAGGGUGACCGGCCACACUGGGACUGAGAUACGGCCCAGACUCCUACGGGAGGCAGCAGUGGGGAAUAUUGCACAAUGGGCGGAAGCCUGAUGCAGCAGCGCCGCGUGCGGGAUGACGGCCUUCGGGUUGUAAACCGCUUUCGCCUGUGACGAAGCGUGAGUGACGGUAAUGGGUAAAGAAGCACCGGCUAACUACGUG
rnacentral:rRNA from 1 species